rnacentral:rRNA from 1 species
AGUGAACGCUGGCGGCAGGCCUAACACAUGCAAGUCGAGCGGCAGCGCGGGGCAACCUGGCGGCGAGCGGCGGACGGGUGAGGAAUGCAUCGGAAUCUACCUAGUUGGGGGGGAUAACGUAGGGAAACUUACGCUAAUAACGCAUAAGACCUACGGGUGAAAGUGGGGGCCCGCAAGGCCUCACGCGAUUGGAUGAGCCGAUGCCCGAUUAGCUGGCUGGCGGGGUAAAAGCCAACCAGAGCGACGAUCGGUACCUGGUCUGAGAGGAUGAUCAGCCACACUGGAACGGAGACACUGUCCAGACUCCUGCGGGAGGCAGCAGUGGGGAAUAUUGGACAAUGGGGGCAACCCUGAUCCAGCCAUGCCGCGUGUGUGAAGAAGGCCUUCGGGUUGUAGAGCACUUUUGUUCGGGAAGAAAAGCCGCCGGUGAAUAUCCGGUGGUGCUGACGUUACCGAAAGAAUAAGCACCGGCUAACUUCGUGCCAGCCGCCGCAGUAACAC